GACGAACGCUGGCGGCGUGCUUAACACAUGCAAGUCGAGCGGAGCGGAGCACGGGUGAGUAACUCGUCAGUAACUACCCCCCUCUCUAGGGUAACCGUUGGAAACGGCUGCUAAUAACGGAUAGUGUGGGAUGACUCGCGUCCAAUGAGCUUGUGGGUGGGGUAGUGGCCUACCAAGGUGACGAAGGGGAGCCGGCCUGGUCGGGAGACCAGACACAGAGGGCUGAAAUACGGCCCAAACUCGUACGGGAGGCAGCAGAGGGGAAUAUUGCACAAUGGAGGAAACCCUGAUGCAGAAACGCCGGGUGCGGAAGGACGGCCUUAGGGUUGAAAACCGCGGUCAUCCAUGACGCGGUAGUGGCAGAAGAAGCAGCGGCUAACUACGUGCCAGCAGCCGCGGUAAUUC
rnacentral:rRNA from 1 species